UUCCGCCUCUUAGUUCAGAAGUCACCCCAUUAAGCAUUCCGCCCGGGGAUUACGGCCGCAAGGCUGAAACUCAAAGGAAUUGACGGGGGCCCGCACAAGCGGUGGAGCAUGUGGUUUAAUUCGAAGCAACGCGAAGAACCUUACCAGGUCUUGACAUCCUCUGACAACCCUAGAGAUAGGGCUUCUCCUUCGGGAGCAGAGUGACAGGUGGUGCAUGGUGUCGUCAGCUCGUGUCUGACAUG
rnacentral:rRNA from 1 species